rnacentral:rRNA from 1 species
AGCAGCCGCGGUAAUUCCAGCUCCAAUAGCGUAUAUUAAAGUUGUUGCAGUUAAAAAGCUCGUAGUUGAAUUUCAGGGUUAGUAGGUUGGUCAUGCCUCUGGUAUGUACUGGUCUCACUGAUUCCUCCUUCCUGAUGAGCCGUAAUGCCAUUAAUUUGGUGUUGCGGGGAAUCAGGACUGUUACUUUGAAAAAAUUAGAGUGUUUAAAGCAGGCUCACGCUUGAAUACAUUAGCAUGGAAUAAUGAAAUAGGACGUUUGAUUCUAUUUUGUUGGUUUCUAGGAUCGACGUAAUGAUUAAUAGGGAUAGUUGGGGGCAUUAGUAUUCAAUUGUCAGAGGUGAAAUUCUUGGAUUUAUUGAAGACUAACUACUGCGAAAGCAUUUGCCAAGGAUGUUUUCAUUAAUCAAGAACGAAAGUUAGGGGAUCGAAGACGAUCAGAUACCGUCGUAG